rnacentral:rRNA from 1 species
UGGGCGUAAAGCGCGCGCAGGUGGUUUCUUAAGUCUGAUGUGAAAGCCCACGCCUCUACCGUGGAGGGUCAUUGGAAACUGGGAGACUUGAGUGCCUUAGAGGAAAGUGGAAUUCCAUGUGUAGCGGUGAAAUGCGUAGAGAUAUGGAGGAACACCAGUGGCGAAGGCGACUCUCUGGUCUGUAACUGACACUGAGGCGCGAAAGCGUGGGGAGCAAACAGGAUUAGAUACCCUGGUAGUCCACGCCGUAAACGAUGAGUGCUAAGUGUUAGAGGGUUUCCGCCCUUUAGUGCUGAAGUUAACGCAUUAAGCACUCCGCCUGGGGAGUACGGCCGCAAGGCUGAAACUCAAAGGAAUUGACGGGGGCCCGCACAAGCGGUGGAGCAUGUGGUUUAAUUCGAAUUUUUUUUAAGAACCUUACCAGGUCUUGACAUCUUGUGGGGACCCUAGAGAUAGCCCUUCUCCUUCGGGAGCACAGUGACAGGUGGUGCAUGGGUGUCGUCAGCUCGUGUCGUGAGAUGUUGGGUUAAGUCCCGCAAC